rnacentral:rRNA from 1 species
GACAGCAGCCGCCGCGGUAAUACGUAGGGUGCAAGCGUUAAUCGGAAUUACUGGGCGUAAAGCGUGCGCAGGCGGUUUGUUAAGACAGAUGUGAAAUCCCCGGGCUCAACCUGGGAACUGCAUUUGUGACUGGCAAGCUAGAGUGUGGCAGAGGGGGGUGGAAUUCCGCGUGUAGCAGUGAAAUGCGUAGAUAUGCGGAGGAACACCGAUGGCGAAGGCAGCCCCCUGGGCCAACACUGACGCUCAUGCACGAAAGCGUGGGGAGCAAACAGGAUUAGAUACCCGCGUAGUCCCUGUCUCUUAUAC